rnacentral:rRNA from 1 species
GACGAACGCUGGCGGCGUGCUUAACACAUGCAAGUCGAACGGAAAGGCCCUGCUUUUGUGGGGUGCUCGAGUGGCGAACGGGUGAGUAACACGUGAGUAACCUGCCCUUGACUUUGGGAUAACUUCAGGAAACUGGGGCUAAUACCGGAUAGGAGCUCCUGCUGCAUGGUGGGGGUUGGAAAGUUUCGGCGGUUGGGGAUGGACGCGCGGCUUAUGAGCUUGUUGGUGGGGUAGUGGCUUACCAAGGCUUUGACGGGUGGCCGGCCUGGGAGGGUGACCGGCCACAUUGGGACUGCGAUACGGCCCAGACGCCUACGGGAGGCAGCAGUGGGGAAUAUUGCACAGUGGGCGGAAGCCUGAUGCAGCAACGCCGCGUGCGGGAUGACGGCCUUCGGGUUGUAAACCGCUUUCGCCUGUGACGAAGCGUGAGUGACGGUAAUGGGUAAAGAAGCACCGGCUAACUACGUG